rnacentral:rRNA from 1 species
CACGUAGGGCGCGAGCGUUGUCCGGAAUUAUUGGGCGUAAAGAGCUCGUAGGCGGCCUGUUGCGUCCGCUGUGAAAGCCCGGGGCUUAACCCCGGGUCGCAGUGGAUACGGGCAGGCUAGAGGUAGGUAGGGGAGAAUGGAAUUCCCGGUGUAGCGGUGAAAAUGCGCAGAUAUCAGGAGGAACACCGGUGGCGAAGGCGGUUCUCUGGGCAUGUCCUGACGUGAGGAAGCGAAGGA